UGGGGAAUAUUGGACAAUGGGCGCAAGCCUGAUCCAGCCAUGCCGCGUGUGUGAAGAAGGCCUUUUGGUUGUAAAGCACUUUAAGCGAGGAGGAGGCUACUUGGAUUAAUACUCUAAGAUAGUGGACGUUACUCGCAGAAUAAGCACCGGCUAACUCUGUGCCAGCAGCCGCGGUAAUACAGAGGGUGCGAGCGUUAAUCGGAUUUACUGGGCGUAAAGCGUGCGUGGGCGGCUUCUUAAGUCGGAUGUGAAAUCACUGAGCUUAACUUAGGCAUUGCAUUCGAUACUGGGAAGCUAGAGUAUGGGAGAGGAUGGUAGAAUUCCAGGUGUAGCGGUGAAAUGCGUAGAGAUCUGGAGGAAUACCGAUGGCGAAGGCAGCCAUCUGUCCUAAUACUGACGCUGAGGUACGAAAGCAUGGGUAGCAAACAGG
rnacentral:rRNA from 1 species